AUCAACCUGGUUGGGUUUAGGCUGUAAUUCGUACCUUGCAUUUUGUGCGUGGUCAUUCCAAUGUCAGUUUAAUUUUUAGGGCAUUUCUAGGUGCACAUGGCCUUACCCAUACAUCUGUAGGUCAGACAUAACAGCCUAAGGCUUAGAAAUAUUGCUGUCUGCCUCAAGGAUUUACAUGCGUGCACCACGGCUCUUGUUCCUGCAAAUGAAGUUCUGCAACUGAGGUCACCUUCAGCAGUAAAAGAAAGAAAAAAGGCCGGGCGCUGUGGCUUAUGCCUGUAAUCUCAGCACUUUGGGAGGCCGAGGCAGGCGGAUCACGAGGUCAGGAGAUCGAGACCAUCCUGGCUAGCACAGUGAAACCCCGUCUCUACUAAGAAUACAAAAAAUUAGCCUGGCG
rnacentral:lncRNA from 1 species